UGUUUCCUCAUCACUCCCUUUUCCUCCUCAACCUCAGUCCUCUCAGUCAUGUCUUCAGUUGAUUCUCGACGCGGAUAGCAACGUGAGAUUCCAGAAACUGACGUGCUGAUAAAAACAGUUUCAUGUGUCAUCUGAAGACUUUUUCAUUUGUUCUACAAUGCGUGACAAAGACUGUAUCAUCUGCCUUCUAGUUUUCUGUUGUCUGUCAGGUGUGUGUCUGGGUCUGCAGGUCCGUCAGUCUCACUCUGAUCUCAUCACAAAACCUGGUGACACAGUGCAGAUUUUCUGCAGCCAUGACAAAACUGACUACAGAGUGAUGCUCUGGUACCAGCGGCCACCUGGAGACAUAGCUAUGAAGCUCAUCGGACAUUUGUACAGCAAAGCUGUUACAAUGGAAGAUCCGUAUAAAGAGAGUUUUAAUAUAUCUGGAGAUCUGAGUGGGACUACAGGAAAGAAUGGUUCUCUUAUAAUCAAAGCUGUGGGACAGGAGGACAGUGCAGUUUACUACUGUGCAGCCAGAGAAGCACGCUGACAAAAAUCCCCUCUGAACUGUACAAAAACUCUGAUAAUGGUUUCUGAAUGAGACAGAAUCCCAGACACCUGCUGCUG